UGGGGAAUAUUGGGGCAAUGGGGCGCAAGCCUGACCCAGCAACGCCGCGUGAAGGAAGAAGGCUUUCGGGUUGUAAACUUCUUUUGUCAGGGACGAGUAGAAGACGGUACCUGACGAAUAAGCCACGGCUAACUACGUGCCAGCAGCCGCGGUAAUACGUAGGUGGCAAGCGUUGUCCGGAUUUACUGGGUGUAAAGGGCGUGUAGCCGGGAGGGCAAGUCAGAUGUGAAAUCCACGGGCUUAACUCGUGAACUGCAUUUGAAACUGUUCUUCUUGAGUAUCGGAGAGGCAAUCGGAAUUCCUAGUGUAGCGGUGAAAUGCGUAGAUAUUAGGAGGGACACCAGUGGCGAAGGCGGCUUGCUGGGCUCUAACUGACGCUGAGGCUCGAAAGUGUGGGGAG
rnacentral:rRNA from 1 species